UCAGGCCCCCUCCAUUAUAAACGCGCUCGCCAUGAUGCAGUGGAACGAAAAUAGCGAUACGUGCAUUGCUUAAAAGUCUUGUGUUGGAUUACCACGCAGAGACUUCCAACAGAGAGACACCUCUAGUCAAAGUACCACUCUGUGCGGCAGGAAUAUCUUACCUAACUCAAAAGAACCUCUGUCCGUCAGGAUGCACUGCUCGAACAGGACCCAUCUGGUCAAUGCGCACUGCGAUGUGGCCGAGGACAAUAGAAGAGACAGGGAGCAUUACGAGUCGGAGUGGCUCGAGACGAGACCGCGGGGAAAAAUUACUCUGUCGGAGCACGACACCGUAAAGAAAGAGAGCUAUGAACAAGAACUGGUGACCAACUUCCGGGUGCAGAGAUUCCCCGAGCAGAAAAUCGGGGUGGGUAGACAAGGGGAGAUGUCUAAUCAGUUGCCUUACAAGAAUGUCCUCCCCAUGCCCCUAUUCUUGCCCAGGAAAGCAGUACCGUUCAAGGGCUCUGAACAUACAUAUACCCCUGCCGAAUCCAGGCCUAUAAUGGAGUUUGAGCAGCCACUAUCCAGUGGCGUGUGUAGGGAUAAACAAGCGGUCUCUCAAAUUACAAAAGGUCUGCCAAAAGUCAUCAAUCCCAUGGGCAAUUCCACAGGGUCUUUUCAGGUCCCUCAACUGGGCAGGUCUGCUCGCAUCCAGCGGAAACCUUGGUGAUGUCGCCAAUAUGGAAAUCUGCGAAUGGGCAAACAUAUCAAACAAAUGCAAUUGCCAAUUGUGGAUUGACUUUCUGGAGCGCUAGUGCCUGUUAUUGGUUUAAAAAAUGGAAUGAAGCAUCCCCAGUUCUUUUGUAUCGCAACUAGUUUGUGCAACACUUUAACCUAGGUUUUCAAGAUUAGUGGUAGAGAAUGCGUUCGAGCAUAUUGUAAUAACUCUGUACAAUGGAUUGCAUGUAUUUUUUGGACGAAAUAGUAUUUUUGAAUGAAACUGCUUUAUGAGUCAUGAAAAGGCAUGCCGAUUUUUUUAUUGUGAAAUAUUGUUUUACGAUACUGUACUUAAAGCAUGAUUUAUAGAACAAUAAAUUGUGGGCAUUCAAAUAAUUCACUGAACUUACUAUCAGCUAUGAAGUUAUUACUCUAUGAGGAAAAAAUGUAAGCUGACACAUUAUGGCUCAAUAUUUUCUGUGAAAAGCUUAAAUGCUAUAAUUUGUACUUCGGCCAUUUCUCAGUACUGUGCCCUCCAAAAUGUUUGGUCAAGAUAACCAAAGAAAUCUACAUGAAAUAAAUAAAAUAAUUAUAUAUUGUAUGAUAAAAAUUGAAUUGAAUAAUUCAUAUUAUUUCAUGCUAAUACAAUUGCUCAGGGAAAAAGAUUUGGGUUAACAUCCAAUUUGUUCCUAAAUUAUAUGUGUAGGUCAGUGGUUCCCAACCCUGUUCCUGGAGCUCCACCAUCCUGUCCGUGGUCACUCCAAUAAAGCACUCCUCAUUCAACAGCUAGAGAUCUUUUUGAGCUGGUAAUUAGUAGAAUCAGGUGUGGGUUGAAAUUAAAACCUGGUAGGUCUCCAGGAACAGGAUUGGGAACCACUGGAAUAGGUACACCAAAUCAUAAAGUUUGUGAUUUGUAUUCAAGAGGGCAGUCCAUAAGCGCAGACCAAAAGUUCUGAUGGAUGUUGAAAUAUUUUGUGGAAAGGAGAAAUAUGAUAUGGGGCACCCAAAUUAAUGUUGUCUGCAUGCUGCAUGUUUUUAGAAACAGAUAUAUGAAGACUGAUUCAUUUUUUUU